AAUGGGGGGAGGCUACCAUGCAGUCGAACGGUAACAGGAAGCAGCUUGCUGCUUUGCUGACGAGUGGCGGACGGGUGAGUAAUGUCUGGGAAACUGCCUGAUGGAGGGGGAUAACUACUGGAAACGGUAGCUAAUACCGCAUAACGUCGCAAGACCAAAGAGGGGGACCUUAGGGCCUCUUGCCAUCGGAUGUGCCCAGAUGGGAUUAGCUAGUAGGUGGGGUAACGGCUCACCUAGGCGACGAUCCCUAGCUGGUCUGAGAGGAUGACCAGCCACACUGGAACUGAGACACGGUCCAGACUCCUACGGGAGGCAGCAGUGGGGAAUAUUGCACAAUGGGCGCAAGCCUGAUGCAGCCAUGCCGCGUGUAUGAAGAAGGCCUUCGGGUUGUAAAGUACUUUCAGCGGGGAGGAAGGGAGUAAAGUUAAUACCUUUGCUCAUUGACGUUACCCGCAGAAGAAGCACCGGCUAACUCCGUGCCAGCAGCCGCGGUAAUACGGAGGGUGCAAGCGUUAAUCGGAAUUACUGGGCGUAAAGCGCACGCAGGCGGUUUGUUAAGUCAGAUGUGAAAUCCCCGGGCUCAACCUGGGAACUGCAUCU
rnacentral:rRNA from 1 species